CGGAGGGUGCAAGCGUUAAUCGGAAUUACUGGGCGUAAAGCGCGCGUAGGCGGUUAUUUAAGCUAGAUGUGAAAGCCCAGGGCUUAACCUUGGAAUUGCAUUUAGAACUGGGUAGCUAGAGUAUGGGAGAGGAGUGUGGGAUUUCCGGUGUAGCGGUGAAAUGCGUAGAGAUCGGAAGGAACAUCAGUGGCGAAGGCGACACUCUGGCCCAGUACUGACGCUGAGGUGCGAAAGCGUGGGGAUCAAACAGGAUUAGAUACCCUGGUA
rnacentral:rRNA from 1 species